rnacentral:lncRNA from 1 species
UAACUUGUGUAUGGGUGUGUGUUUGUGUUUGUAUGUGUAUGUGUGUCUGUGUGUGUCUGUGAACAUGUGUGUGUAUGUCUCUGUGUGUGUAUGUGUCUGUGUGUGUGUGUGUCUCUGUGUGUGAGCAUGUGUGUCUGAAUGUCUGUAUGUGAGUGUCUGUGUAUGUCUGUGAAUGUGUCUCUGUGUGCCUGUGUGUGUACAGACUCUGACAUACUUAUGAAAGAAAGGAGGUGAAUCCUCUCCUUUGAUAUUGAGACAGGAUCGCUGAUGUCUGUUGCUCUGCUUACAGGGCUAAUGAGCCCUCACAUUUCAGGGGAUUCUCCUGCUCUAAAAUUAAAGAUGUGAACUACCCUGUUGACUCUUGUCAGUUCUAGGGGAUAUGAACUCAGAUCCUCACACUUGUUUGGCAAAUUUUAUUCCCAAGCUUUAACUUAUCACUACUGGGGAAACUAUGGCGCAUUGAAGUCAGCCUUUUCCAAGUGACUCCGACACAGUAACAUCACAGUGCCGACCAUCACUUGACUCCUCAUGACUCUAACUCAGCCACACAACCUGUCAAAUCUUCCCCAUCUUCCAAGCCUGUCUCCAAUCUACUCUUGCCAACAUAUCUUUUCAAAUUUCCUUACAAAGAAAUUCUCAUUAGAAUGUCUCAGGGACUACUCUUCUCAGGCUCCCAUCUCAUGCUUCAUUAUCAAUAUAGGGAAAAAUAGACCAUAAAUUGCUAUUGAUGGUGAGUCAAGAAAGAAGGGUCCUAGUGAAUAGACACUGGACUUAUUACAACAUACAUUCCUGGUGGCCUUGAAAGCAUGAGGUGAAUCAUGAUCACAUGAAACAUGAUAACAGAAGAGAGAAAAAAAAAACCUAGAACUUGGUUAAAUUUAUUUUCAAAGACCAACUGAGUAAGUAGCAUUUAGCCACUACUGGUGGCCUCUGUGUAUGUGUGUGUGUGUGUGUGUGUGUGUUACUCUGUGGCCUUGGUUCUUCUCUAUAGCUUAGAAAAUAAAGACAAAGCCCAAAAUACAACAUCAUGUGGUCAAUGUGGCCAGCACUCUGUAUGGAUGUAUAUAGUUGCAAUUAAUCUAGAGACUUUCUGAAGAUUUCUAGGGAAAGUUUUCUCUGCUCACCGCCUCCUUAAGGCUCUCAUAUACUUAGCAUUCAAAUCCAAACACCUAAGUAUGAGCCAUUAUUCAGCACAGUGGGGUGAGAGGACUCCAGAGGUUGACCAUCUUCCUUUUGUCAAGACCUUUAGGGUUGCUCAUAAAAAGGUUGCCCUUGCUUCCUCUCCUCCAAAGUUUGAUUUUGAUUUUAUUUUUAACUCUGAGUUUUUUAUUUCAGAUCCUGUUGCCUCCUCCUUUCAGCCCUCUAGCUUCAAUUUCCCCAUCAGAAUUUCUCCGGGGGAGGAGGAAUUAUGUUGACCUUACAGAAGUUAAUUUUAUAUCCUCCAAUUCAACCUGGAGGAUCUUUGGCCCGUAACCCACCAACAUUCAUGCUGACAACCUAUACAUUGUUCCAGGGUUGAAUGAGAUUUGAUUGGAAGUAACCUCAAUGGUGAACUCCAAAUAUCAUGCU